CGGUCUCAACUUGCCAAUUAUGCUUUCCAGAUAUUACAGGGGACUCCGAUUGGCUCUCCCCGAGUCACGUGCUCCCUGCUGGCCAAACAACAGUAGCCUGGAGUGUGAAGGUGGGUCUGCAAUUGCUUCUGCCAGGGUCAACUGUGAGGGAAGACGGUAGGGAAGUGACACCCUUUCAGGCUUCAGCUGGUGGCGCUGGCUGCUUGACUUUCUGGAAAUGGAUGCCAUGCAAGGUUGCAUUUUGACCAGGGGGAAGGAGGUCAUUCUUGAGGGUGGCUGGAUCGAUUGUGAGUCUGCCCCAGCUCCAGAGACACGGCAAGUUCAUGGGAUCUCACUCCUAAAUUCAAAAGUUAAGACAAUGAGGACGGCUGUCUUACAAGACCUAAUGGCCCUUGACGUACUAACAGCAGCGCGAGGAGGAACCUGUGCCAUCAUUAGAGUGCUGUGUAUAUAAACCUGACAACUGGGACAAUAUGUCCCCAGUCCUCCAAGAUUUACAUACUCAAAUUAAAUCUCUUGUCAAGCCCUGC